AACGAACGCUGGCGGCGUGGAUAAGACAUGCAAGUCGGACGGGAUUACUUUUGGUAGCAAUACCGAAAGUGAUUCAGUGGCGAACGGGUGCGUAACACGUGGGCAAUCUACCGAGAAGUGGGGGAUAGCUCGCCGAAAGGCGAAUUAAUACCGCAUGUGAUGAGAGGCGACAUCGCUUCGAAAUCAAAGGUGGCGCAAGCUACCGCUUUUUGAGGAGCCCACGGCCUAUCAGCUUGUUGGUGAGGUAACGGCUCACCAAGGCAUUGACGGGUAGCUGGUCUGAGAGGACGACCAGUCACACUGGGACUGAGACACGGCCCAGACACCUACGGGUGGCAGCAGUCGAGAAUUUUUCUCAAUGGGGGAAACCCUGAAGGAGCGACGCCGCGUGGAGGAUGAAGGUCUUCGGAUUGUAAACUCCUGUCAUUUGGGAACAAGGUGUGCGCGUUAACUGCGCGCGCAUUGAUAGUACCAGAAGAGGAAGAGACGGCUAACUCUGUGCCAGCAGCCGCGGUAAUACAGAGGUCUCAAGCGUUGUUCGGAUUCAUUGGGCGUAAAGGGUGCGUAGGCGGCGCGGUAAGUCGGGUGUGAAAUUUCGAGGCUUAACUUCGAAACUGCAUUCGAUACUGCCGUGCUUGAGGACUGGAGAGGAGACUGGAAUUUACGGUGUAGCGGUGAAAUGCGUAGAUAUCGUAAGGAAGACCAGUGGCGAAGGCGGGUCUCUGGACAGUUCCUGACGCUGAGGCACGAAGGCCAGGGGAGCAAACGGGAUUAGAUACCCCGGUAGUCCUGGCAAUAAACGGUGCACGUUUGGUGUGGGAGGAUUCGACCCCUUCUGCGCCGGAGCUAACGCGUUAAACGUGCCGCCUGG
rnacentral:rRNA from 1 species